rnacentral:rRNA from 1 species
UGGGGAAUAUUGCACAAUGGAGGGAACUCUGAUGCAGCGACGCCGCGUGAACGAAGAAGGCUUUCGAUUCGUAAAGUUCUUUUAUAUGGGAAGAUAAUGACGGUACCAUAAGAAAAAGCCCCGGCUAACUACGUGCCAGCAGCCGCGGUAAUACGUAGGGGGCUAGCGUUGUCCGGAAUCACUGGGCGUAAAGGGUUCGCAGGCGGAAAUGCAAGUCAGGUGUAAAAGGCAGUAGCUUAACUACUGUAAGCAUUUGAAACUGCAUAACUUGAGAAGAGUAGAGGUAAGUGGAAUUUUUAGUGUAGCGGUGAAAUGCGUAGAUAUUAAAAAGAAUACCGGUGGCGAAGGCGACUUACUGGGCUCAUUCUGACGCUGAGGAACGAAAGCGUGGGUAGCAAACAGG